rnacentral:rRNA from 1 species
UACGGGAGGCAGCAGUGGGGAAUAUUGCACAAUGGAGGAAACUCUGAUGCAGCGACGCCGCGUGAGCGAAGAAGUAUUUCGGUAUGUAAAGCUCUAUCAGCAGGGAAGAAAAAAUGACGGUACCUGACUAAGAAGCCCCGGCUAACUACGUGCCAGCAGCCGCGGUAAU